rnacentral:lncRNA from 1 species
UUCACGGCUGCUGAUUGUUCCCCUUCCAGAAGCUUUUACACAGACUCUGAGAGCAAGCUUGCCCGCUAAGAAAAAAAAAAAUGUGAUUCCGUUUAUAAUAUUUCUAUUUUUGCCCAGUUGUUUUUAGAACCCUCUUUUUCUAUCAGUUGAGGAAUUGGACCAGAUAAGCUGUGAUAUGCUUUGCCAAUUAAAAAAAAAAAAGCAUUUUCACGGUUAUAUAAGACGAGGAAACUGUGUCUGUCUACUCAAGUAUCUUUGGGGCUCAAAAAUAAACAAAAGCAGAUUAACAUUUUAUAGAGCAUAGUUUUUAGACGGAGGGAGCUGAGCCAAACACUUAACCUUCAGCAAUGACAGCCUUGUCAAUGACGAGGUCGUUUGUAUGCGGCGUGCGAUUCAGAGGGAAAACAUGCCUUCUAUCUCAUUCAGCUAACCUUAGCCUCAGGUGGACUCUUCCGACAAGGGCAGAAAGCAGCCACGUUCUUCACCAAAGAUUACCACGACAGUCUCUAGGCCACAUACUAAAGUUCUUCUCCACUGAAACCCCUUGGGCCAGGUCUGCACAGUUCAAAUCACCCUCAGCCACAAAGUCUUCCCCUGC